UAGGGAAUCUUCCGCAAUGGACGAAAGUCUGACGGAGCAACGCCGCGUGAGUGAAGAAGGAUUUCGGUUCGUAAAUCUCUGUUGUUAGGGAAGAAAAAAUGUAUAGUAACUAUAUACAAAAGAGACGGUACCUAACCAGAAAGCCACGGCUAACUACGUGCCAGCAGCCGCGGUAAUACGUAGGUGGCAAGCGUUGUCCGGAAUUAUUGGGCGUAAAGCGCGCGCAGGUGGUUUAGAAAGUCUGAUGUGAAAGCCCACGGCUCAACCGUGGAGGGUCAUUGGAAACUAAUAAACUUGAGUGCAGGGGAGAGAAGUGGAAUUCCUAGUGUAGCGGUGAAAUGCGUAGAGAUUAGGAGGAACACCGGUGGCGAAAGCGGCUUUUUGGCCUGCAACUGACACUGAGGCGCGAAAGCGUGGGGAGCAAACAGG
rnacentral:rRNA from 1 species